UCUGUGAACUCCUACGGGAGGCAGCAGUGGGGAAUUUUGGACAAUGGGGGCAACCCUGAUCCAGCAAUGCCGCGUGUGUGAAGAAGGUCUUCGGAUUGUAAAGCACUUUCAGUUGGGAGGAAGGGCAUUAACCUAAUACGUUAGUGUCUUGACGUUACCGAAAGAAUAAGCACCGGCUAACUCUGUGCCAGCAGCCGCGGUAAUACAGAGGGUGCAAGCGUUAAUCGGAAUUACUGGGCGUAAAGCGCGCGUAGGUGGUUUGUUAAGUUGAAUGUGAAAUCCCCGGGCUCAACCUGGGAACUGCAUCCAAAACUGGCAAGCUAGAGUAUGGUAGAGGGUAGUGGAAUUUCCUGUGUAGCGGUGAAAUGCGUAGAUAUAGGAAGGAACACCAGUGGCGAAGGCGACUACCUGGACUGAUACUGACACUGAGGUGCGAAAGCGUGGGGAGCAAACAGGAUUAGAAACCCCUGUAGUCCAUCAGCG
rnacentral:rRNA from 1 species